rnacentral:pre_miRNA from 1 species
GAAUCCUGUCAUAUUUUUCCACGGCUUUCUUGAACUUCACGAUCGGCGGCGGCUGAUUGCUUCGAUAACAGAUCUGGAUAACAAGCUCAAGAAAGCCGAGGGAAAAUAUAAAGGGAUUC